rnacentral:rRNA from 1 species
UACAGAGGGUGCGAGCGUUAAUCGGAAUUACUGGACGUAAAGCGUGCGUAGACGGUUAUUUAAGUCGGGUGUGAAAGCCCCGGGCUCAACCUGGGAAUUGCAUUCGAGACUGAAUAGCUAGGGUACGGUAGAGGGAAGUGGAAUUUCCGGUGUAGCGGUGAAAUGCGUAGAUAUCGGAAGGAACAUCAGUGGCGAAAGCGACUUCCUGGACCAGUACCGACGUUCAGGCACGAAAGCGUGGGGAGCAAACAGG